AUGGAUUUAUACUACAUUAGAUAUUAAAUGUGUCUCCACUCCAUGGUGCUUGGGAAGAUGGAUUGAUGUUUAAUAACACUAGAUGUUUUCAUACACAGAACACACAUGGUCUGCAACAAUCCCAUUCAUUCUAAUACCAAUAUCCCAACACCUUCCUCUGGCUUCUGUAGGUAGCAGUCAAAUAUCUAUUACAUAGAAAUUCAUUCAUACUUUUAAAAUGUUCCCAUGAUUUUAUACAGUAAAAUGAUUCGCAGAAAAUAUUUUUUGUAGUACUCUACCUGUAUAUUAUACGUCUUUUGAAUUCUGGUUAUACUAUGAGUUGGUCUACAAAACAUUUGCCCUGUUUUCUUCAUAGUUAGUUUUGUAACUAACAUUAGUUUUCAGAUGGUCUAAAAUAAAAUUAUCCUUUUUCUUCGUUUAGACUUCUACUGAAGAUUCCUCAGGCAAACUUUAUCCUUCUAAAGCAUCUCAUUUGGUAUUAGUAAUAAUAAGAGACUCAUCCACGAGUAAUUUAGACACUAACAGGUUAUCUAUCCGGAUAGCUCCUUAUGUUUUGUGGGAUCAGACUACAAAGGAUGCAUGGUUUGGGAGUGAUGUAUCAAGAAAGAUGUCCAUUAUACAAAUCAUGAUCGACAACUAUCAUCAAAUAUUUGGAAAUUAUAAUAUAUUUUAUAAACAUAUUGACAGAAGAUCUGAGGAUUUAAAGACUUGUGCAGAUUCAAUAAACUCUUCUGGCAAAUCACCUAUUAUGAAAGAAUUCCUAGCUGGCCACAACAAGAAGACAUGCGAUAAUGGUGAAAAAUUAAAAAUUUCAUCCAUUGCUCUGCAGGAGUAAGGUCCUACAGCGACAGCCCCUCUCUGUAGGGGAGCUGUGCCCAUCAAAGGCUGAAGACUCUCGGGAGAAGCCGGUAUGUGAGGCUGGGUUGGAUGUGUGUUAUCUCUUUCCAGUCGAGCAUGGUAUAAUUGCAGUUUUCUGAGGGUCAUCACUGCCUGAAGUGGCCUAAAGAUGUCUUUUGUAAUUUAUUUCCUUGUUUAGCAUCAAGAGGACCUGAUGCCCCCAGAAGCCUGGAUUGCUGGAUAUGCAUGUUUCUGUGAUGUACACAUAUACUCACACAUUUAUAAAACUACUGGUAUAUGUUGUGCCCUUGGUUUUAUUCUCUGUGUAUUUGAACUUUAUAAUAAAAAUACUUUUCACUGUGUA
rnacentral:sRNA from 1 species